AUUGAACGCUGGCGGCAUGCUUUACACAUGCAAGUCGAACGGCAGCGCGGGCUUCGGCCUGGCGGCGAGUGGCGAACGGGUGAGUAAUGCAUCGGAACGUGCCCAGUAGUGGGGGAUAGCCCGGCGAAAGCCGGAUUAAUACCGCAUACGACCUGAGGGUGAAAGCGGGGGACCGAAAGGCCUCGCGCUAUUGGAGCGGCCGAUGUCGGAUUAGCUAGUUGGUGGGGUAAAGGCUUACCAAGGCGACGAUCCGUAGCUGGUCUGAGAGGACGACCAGCCACACUGGGACUGAGACACGGCCCAGACUCCUACGGGAGGCAGCAGUGGGGAAUUUUGGACAAUGGGGGCAACCCUGAUCCAGCCAUGCCGCGUGCGGGAAGAAGGCCUUCGGGUUGUAAACCGCUUUUGUUCGGGAAGAAAUCCUCUGGGCUAAUACCCCGGGGGGAUGACGGUACCGGAAGAAUAAGCACCGGCGAACUACGUG
rnacentral:rRNA from 1 species